GGGGACAACCCGCCGAAAGGCGGGCUAAACCCGCGUACAUGCCACCGGGGCAUCCCGGAGGCAGGAAAGGCUUCGGCCGGACAGGGAUGGGCAUGCGGCGCAUUAGGCAGUAGGCGGGGUAACGGCCCACCUAACCGACGAUGCGUAGGGGUUCUGAGAGGAAGGUCCCCCACACUGGUACUGAGACACGGACCAGACUCCUACGGGAGGCAGCAGUGAGGAAUAUUGGUCAAUGGUCGGGAGACUGAACCAGCCAAGCCGCGUGAGGGAUGAAGGUACAGAGUAUCGUAAACCUCUUUUGUCAGGGAACAAAGGCGGGGACGUGUCCCCGGAUGAGUGUACCUGAAGAAAAAGCAUCGGCUAACUCCGUGCCAGCAGCCGCGGUAAUACGGAGGAUGCGAGCGUUAUCCGGAUUUAUUGGGUUUAAAGGGUGCGCAGGCGGUCUGUUAAGUCAGCGGUCAAAGCCCGGGGCUCAACCCCGGCCCGCCGUUGAAACUGGCAGUCUCGAGUUGGAGAGAAGUAUGCGGAAUGCGCGGUGUAGCGGUGAAAUGCAUAGAUAUCGCGCAGAACUCCGAUUGCGAAGGCAGCAUGCCGGCUCCACACUGACGCUAAGGCACGAAAGCGUGGGUAUCGAACAGGAUUAGAUACCCUGGUAGUCCACGCAGUAAACGAUGAA
rnacentral:rRNA from 1 species